rnacentral:rRNA from 1 species
GACGAACGCUGGCGGCGUGCUUAACACAUGCAAGUCGAACGAAGUGGCGAACGGGUGAGUAACGCGUAAUCAACCUGCCCUUCAGAGGGGGACAACAGUUGGAAACGACUGCUAAUACCGCAUACUGAAGGAGGGGAUUGCGUCUGAUUAGCUAGUUGGAGGGGUAACGGCUCACCUAGGCGACGAUCCCUAGCUGGUCUGAGAGGAUGACCAGCCACACUGGAACUGAGACACGGUCCAGACUCCUACGGGAGGCAGCAGUGGGGAAUAUUGCACAAUGGGCGAAAGCCUGAUGCAGCGACGCCGCGUGGGGGAUGAAGGCUUUCGGGUUGUAAACCUCUUUCGCUAUCGAACGGGUAGGUGGAGAAGAAGCGCCGGCUAACUACGUGCCAGCAGCCGCGGUAAUUC